UACGGAGGGGGUUAGCGUUGUUCGGAAUUACUGGGCGUAAAGCGCACGUAGGCGGAUUGGAAAGUUGGGGGUGAAAUCCCGGGGCUCAACCCCGGAACUGCCUCCAAAACUAUCAGUCUAGAGUUCGAGAGAGGUGAGUGGAAUUCCAAGUGUAGAGGUGAAAUUCGUAGAUAUUUGGAGGAACACCAGUGGCGAAGGCGGCUCACUGGCUCGAUACUGACGCUGAGGUGCGAAAGUGU
rnacentral:rRNA from 1 species